GUCUUAUGUACCGAAGGUCGUGGGUUCGAAACCCACAUGGAUCAUCAGUUAAGAAGCGUUUUGGAAGGAGGAA